UCAGAGGAGAGAAAGGCAUGAAAGAAAGCUGAGGAGAGAUGACAGAGGGGGUUGAUCGACACAUUGGGAGUAUCAAAAUGAAAAUUCCAUCUUUCUAAGGAAAGAAUGAUCCAGAUGUUUACCUUAAGUGGGAACGCAAAGUUGAGCUAGCCUUCGACUAUCACAACUAUUCAGAAGAGAAAAAGGCAAAACUUGCUGCUGUUGAAUUUACCGACUAUGCUCUUGUAUGGUAGAAGUGGUAUUAAUUGAAGAUAAGUUGAGAGAAGAGAGAUUG
rnacentral:misc_RNA from 1 species